CUGGAGAUUUAGCUGGUUUCGAAAACGAGAGCCGAGAGCAAAGCCAACUCCCUCCCGGAUUCCUGUCACACUCGCACUGGGUCAAACUGCAAAUGUCAAGACUUUUGUCCAGCAGGAAACCGAGCAACUAAUAAGCUGGGUCCAACUUCACGAGCUGACUAAAACAAUGGUGCUGCUCUACAUUCCCAUCCGGCUCGGCAAAUCUUCUGGGUUAAUAUCCAGCGUGACGGAGACACCAUACACGUUUUCUGUAGAAUUAGCGAAUCCGGGAAAAUGAAGAUUGGACUGAUUUUAGGACACCAGCGUGGA